CUUUGUGGAGAAGGUUGACAAUGGCACCACCUUGUGCAAAAUCUGAUCAUAACAGUUGAUUUCAAAGCGCAACUCUCUGACUACAUACACGUACAUAAACUGCAAGCGACGCGACAAACUACAACGGUUUCUAUUAUAAUGAACAACUCUGCGACGCGGUGAAAUGAAGUUUGUCGCGUCGCGUCAGAUGGGGCUUGAGCGUCGGGGCGUCGCCUUGGCUCGACCCGAACCAAUCGGGAUUCCGCUCAGAACUUUGUAAACAACACAGUUGCACGCUGUAUGAAAACUUUACUACGAGAGGAUGUCGCGUGCCGAGGACCGCCAGAACAUCACUCAACCAGGCUGGAAUUCCUCCAGGAAGGCCGAAAGAAGCCUGGCACUUGCUUGCAGCUUGCAGCCAGGCUUGGGCAGCUGGGAUCUGGAAGGAGUUCCCUGCAGUUCUGGAGCACUCUGGCACCGCUCACACCCCCUACAUCAAACCCGUACCACACACCCCGCCUGCUCCCGCUCCACCUUCUUCUGCACAACACAAUACAGAGGAGCUCUGUGCUUCUGUACACCCACACACACACACACACAGAGAGAGACAGCGAGCUGUAAAUGCGAUUCAAGGAUUCAAGCAGGCGCCCCUCAGUUGCCGACUCUGCUCUGUGUGGCACUUGACACAGGCGCUCUCGCAUAAUCUGCCUAUUAUUCAUUGUUAGUGGCGAGACUCUUCAACACACUUCAAGGUCUAUUCAUCUGCAGAAACAAGUACUGAACUGGGUAUCAGCACUGUGGAAACGGUCCCCCAUUUGCCCUUUCAAAUUCGCCUACCAUGCAAGAUACGGCGUUGAACAGGAGCUGUUUCUUCAGCUGGAAUCUAUAGUGGUUUCUUUCCCCCAAGAGCGUCACGGCACCUGCAAGGAGCCGCGAGAGUUUUGGCUACACCAGUAAGGCACCGCAAGCCCCGCCUACCUGCUGAAAGGCAGCCUGCUGACACCCUCCUGAUCGGUUGUCUGGGAUUCUCAGCAGCCAAAAAAGCAGUAAAAAAGGAAUUCCUUCCUAAUGGUCCAUGAAAGCUGUGAUUCACCACUUAUUAUUGUUCGAGCCCUGGCGAAUCUUUCCAUAUUACCUCAGCAUUGUAACCUUCAGAAAACCUGUCCGUCACACUCUAGGGUUUAUUUUCACAUCGUGCCACCUCGUCUCUCUGUUCUGACUUGCUUGAGCAGAUCUAUGGAAUACAGUCGAGUAAUCAAUGGCCCAGAAAGCUCUUCCAGCUGGACACUUGUCAUUGGUGAUGGAGGAAAACCAUGGCAACCGGCCGCUUCUAAAGGACCGCUGGCGUUAGGGAGGUCAGUGCCCUGCCACGAACCCCCUCGCAAGUAAACAGACUUGACGGGGAAGGGCUUUCAGACUUGGACUGUGUUCCUUUCAAUAAUUGCGCUCAUUGUUCUCCAGCCACUGUCAGUUAUGGUCGCAAGCUGUUUGGUAGGCCCCUGUCUGUCUGCAACCCCCCUACGCUAGCAGUGGUAGUGUUGCACCCUCAUGGCUAUCUGCUUGUGCCAGGGCUGAGAUGCCAGCUUGGUGGCCCUGAUGCCCUGAAACUGAUGUGUCUGACAGUGACAGUGUAGGUGUGCUUAGCAGAAUGAAAAUAAAACUUCCUGCCUUCCUUUUGACA
ensembl:lncRNA